UCCGGCUUACACCGGCAGUCUCCUGUGAGUGCCCGACAUUACUCGCUGGUAACACAGAGCGAGGGUUGCGCUCGUUGGCGGACUUAACCGUACACCUCACGGCACGAGCUGACGACAGCCAUGCAACAUCUGUUUUCAGGUCUCCUUGUGGGAGAGGGCCAUAUCUCUAUGGCUUUCCUUCAAUGUCAAGAGUGGGUAAGGUUCUUCGGUUAGUAUCGAAUUAAUCCACAUGCUCCACCGCUUGUGCGGGUCCCCGUCAAUUCCUUUGAGUUUUACCGUUGCCGGCGUACUCCCCAGGCGGAGAACUUAACGCGUUAGCUGCGACACCAGGAGGCAAACCCUCCCGACAUCUAGUUCUCAUCGUUUACGGCGUGGACUAC
rnacentral:misc_RNA from 1 species